rnacentral:rRNA from 1 species
UACAGAGGGUGCAAGCGUUGUUCGGAAUUACUGGGCGUAAAGCGUGCGCAGGCGGUGAUGUAAGACCGAUGUGAAAUCCCCGGGCUUAACCUGGGAACUGCAUUGGUGACUGCAUCGCUCGAGUAUGGCAGAGGGGGGUAGAAUUCCACGUGUAGCAGUGAAAUGCGCAGAUAUCAGGAGGAACACCGGUGGCGAAGGCGGCUCACUGGCCCGUAACUGACGCUCAUGCACGACAGCGUGGGGAUCAAACAGG